rnacentral:rRNA from 1 species
GUGGGGAAUUUUGGACAAUGGGCGCAAGCCUGAUCCAGCAAUGCCGCGUGCAGGAAGAAGGCCUUCGGGUUGUAAACUGCUUUUGUACGGAACGAAACGGUCCUGGUUAAUACCUGGGGCUAAUGACGGUACCGUAAGAAUAAGCACCGGCUAACUACGUGCCAGCAGCCGCGGUAAUACGUAGGGUGCAAGCGUUAAUCGGAAUUACUGGGCGUAAAGCGUGCGCAGGCGGUGUUGUAAGACAGGCGUGAAAUCCCCGGGCUCAACCUGGGAAUGGCGCUUGUGACUGCAAAGCUGGAGUGCGGCAGAGGGGGAUGGAAUUCCGCGUGUAGCAGUGAAAUGCGUAGAUAUGCGGAGGAACACCGAUGGCGAAGGCAAUCCCCUGGGCCUGCACUGACGCUCAUGCACGAAAGCGUGGGGAGCAAACAGGAUUAGAUACCCGUGUAGUCC